AACAUGCAAGAAUAAAACUAAAUAAGGAGAUAACCUAAUUUUAGGACAAAAGCUCUCAUAACAAAAUGAUGUGAACUCAAGAAAAUUUAGAACCUUUGAAUUCACGAACACUUGAAUUGCAUUCAUCCUAAGUCAUAAAAGUUCUAAAAAGAACCAAUGAGAAAAACUCCCAAAAAUAUGAAUCGUUCAAAAUAUUUGCUUCAUCCAACUUGGUGUUGGAUACAGUGAGUUUUUGCCUUUGUAUAAUAUAAGUGCUGACCUAGGUAAUUACUAGCACUAAAUGCCUAUGUAAUAGCACAAUUACUAGGCAAAUCAAAAUGCUCACUUUAAUUUGUUUGUUUAUGCAACAAUUGAAUACAUUUAUUAUCCCCAAUCUAAAAAGACUCUUAUUGAACCAAAGUAAAUGAAAAGACAACAUAUUCAACUCUGAAUUCAUCAAAAUACAUUAAUUGACCAUAAAAGCACUCCUUCAGUCCAAAAUAACAUAAUUGAGCACAAUUUUAACUAGUACAUGUAUAGUCAAUAACCCAAGGACCUCAAUUUGAGUGAUUUUGGCCCAAAACUCCUCUAAUAGCUCCAUCUUUAUCCCAAAUUAGUGUAAGCAUGUGUUUAAGCUCAAAUUCAAAUUGAACAGGAUUAUGAUUGGGCCAAAUGUCUUGAAUAAAUCCAUUUUAAUGCUUCCAUGAAUCUUUGUUCCUGUUCUUGUAAUAGAUUCAUUUGGAAUUUGCAAAAGGAUGUGCUUUCAUCCCUUGAUUCUCAUCAUCACUCACGGUUGCUACAAUAAAACAAGAAAGUCACAAUAGAGAGCAAACAAAGAAGGUAUGAAAACCCUUUUUGCCUCAUUGGAAAACCUUCUCUUGCACUAUAACCCUUAUAAUUACACUGCAAUUCAUCACUGCCAUAUGCGUAGCCUCAUAAGAUGUGCUUGCCCUCGUAGGAAAUCCGUUGUCGGUGUGCAUGCAUGAGAGAUCAUCGUCCCCAUGCUUGUGUUCCCAAAGACCAUUUUUUCUUGAUCUUUUUUUUUUUCACAACUUGUGGCGAAAAUUGGGUUACAUCUCAAAACUCAAUGUUACACUUGCCUUCAUGUUUGAGGAAAACCUUGUCAUAUGUCACUAUCACGAUCAUGCACGAAAAAAAAAACAAUUAUAAAAUAAAGAGAGAAUUAUAAUAAGUUAUUUUCUUGUAUUUUUUUCAAAAAAUUUCAUAAUUAGUAUUUUUUUUAAACAUAUGCUUUGAUUUUUUUUUAAGCUAAAAGAACUUUACUCAAUACAAAAUAAGGCUUGAAUGUGUCAAAAACAAGCCAUAAUAAUAUUUACAUAAGAUAUAUAUAUUUUCUAACUCUGUUAAAUAGUUGUCUUUAUAUUAAAUUACUCUUUUCUUUUUUCCUUUUAAUCAAAAGGAGGCAUGAUUUAACAUCACAAUAGGGACAGAAAUUUUAACUAGGUUGACACCUCUAUCCCUAUUGAUGAUGUUCUUCACAUGCCAAUUAUUUAUAUUUUUAGACUUUUACCAUUUUAAACAAAGGCUGUUCCACCAAAAAGAAAACAAAUACAAAAAGUGAAUAAAAAAAUCGUCAUUGAUUCAAAAGAGAGGAAUAGUUCGUUGUACACAAUUUUUUGGAAACAUUGAUUUCAUCAUAAACUUAAAAUUAGCUAAUGCAAUCUAUUAAUUGACAUUUUUUUUAUUGAAAAAGGUGGAGUCAAACUCUACUAUUAAACAUAAGCUGUUUAACCAAUUUUACUAGAAUCCCUUAAUAAUUCACGUAUCCUUUCCUAAUUUACAUAUUGUUAAUUUUUCUCCAAUUUUCGUAGUUCUCUGAAAAAGAAAUUCGUUCAUAUAUAAUGGCCAUAUACAUUUCUAAUUAACUAUAAAUUUUUGGUUAAAAAUAAUAGUGUUUUAAAGUGAUUUUUCCCAAUCGUACAGUAGUUAGAAAAACCAAAUAUCACCCUUCCCUGCCACCGGAAAUAAAAAUAGAAAACAAAAAAGAAGGGAUCUUCUAUGUACCUGUUUCUAACAACUACACCGUGAAACUCACCUCACCAUUCCAAACUGAGAGAGGAGACGUUUUCCAAGCGAUUUAGAUCAAAGAUGAACUUGUUGUCCUCAUCAAUUAAUUGAAACAUAUUGCAUCCCAAAAAUUAUUAAAAGAAAGAGAAAAAAAAAACAUUAUUUCUAAUUUCACAAUACAUUUACACAAGAAUGCUAGCCACAUUCAUUUUUGUAUGUCUCACUUUUUAUUUAAUAUGAAAAUUGUGAAAAAAAACACAUUAUUUUUAAUUUCACAAUUACAUUUACUCAAGAAUGUGCGCUAGCCAUACUCAUUUUUGUAUGUCUCACUUUUUAUUUAAUGCAAAUCAAACAUUAUUUCAUAAUUGUGAAAAUUGUUAAAAAUUACUCAUUUUUGUAUGUCUCACUUUUUAUUUAAUGUUUUUCUUGGUGAUUUAGAGGUGAAAUUCAUGAUGAUAGAUUAUUUUUAAUAAAUUUUAACGUAAAUUACACAUAUUUUCUUUGAGUUUAACGAAAUUACACAUGUUUUUUUUUUAUAAAAUUUAUAUAUGUAUCUCAUGAGUUUUAAGAAAAUUGCACAUAUUUUAUUUUUAAAAUCUAUAUAAAGCCUCUAAAUGUUAUUUAAACAUU
rnacentral:lncRNA from 1 species